ensembl:snRNA U2 U2 spliceosomal RNA
AUCGCUUCUCGGCCUUUUGGCUAAGAUCCAGUGUAGUACCUGUUCUUGGCGUGGGGGGGGGGGUGCAUCCCAGCUAAAGGAUGCAUCGGGUUUUCAACUCCCCAUUGCUGGGCGGAGAGGCACUUGAUCCUCUGGCUCGUGCCAGGGGAGCCCGUCAGAGCCCCCCAGGAUUUGCACCCAUGGGGUGCCAGAUGAC